GGGCAAAUAGGUGUAAGUUGGUUAUCGCGCCCGCUUCGCACUGUGGCUGUGCACGUCCACGUGAUUGGUUUGCGGGAGGUGCUGGGUUCAAUUCCCAGUUUGUCCC